UGCGCGCGCAGGGUGAGCCGGGAAGGGAGAUGGCUCUCCGCCUGAGGGGUUGGUGGUAGGGAUGUAAGAUCCUCGUGUCCCAGCGCGGCUGGUAGGGAUUCAGCAAGCAGGGGUACGCCGCUUCUGUCCCCGUGUUGGAGAGCAACAACACAGGACAACAAGCCAUCCUGCUACGAGGUUCGGCAUCACCUACAGGAGUUUUAUCUUCAAGACGAAAUCAUCACUGGUUUUUGUACUCAUUGGAUCAGUGUGGAUUGAGCAGCAUUGAAUCCUUGUAUUGAGCGGACGUGUUUGCAGAUCUAGGUCGCAUUCUUUGGAAGAUUAGCAAGACUUUUAAUUCACGCUCUAUUCACACCGAAGUUACACUUGCCUGCUGGCAUCAGGUCUCCAAGGGGGAAAGAAAACAGAACUUUCCAACAGCAGUGGGUGAGCCAUCCAUCUCUACUGUACCUUGUAAUAGAGACAUAUGAAGGAUGCAGUGAUUUCACUGCCAUCAGGAAACCCUGAGAGGCAGGAGGAAACGAGAAGGCUGCACAGAGCAACUAUUCCUGGACAAGACACGGCUGAGAAAAUCCUAGAACACAGGGCGGAGACAGACCACACAAGAAGGAACUAAAACCCUCAAGAAAUGGAAGACAUUAACUACUUGAUGAAGCAUUCUUCAUUCCAGAGAAAAAGUCACGGUUCGAUAACCCUGAGAACCUCAGAAGCUCAUCAGGACACCACCUGAGGCCAGAUUAAAGGAAUGCAGGUCCUGCACACACCCCGAUCUUUAUUAGCAACUCCACCCUUGAACCAUCGCUAUAAAACCCCUCACCAAAUCUCCCCAGGGUGGGACACACACUUUUGAGGGGCACAAGCCCUCUGUGUCCCCCUUUGCCUGGCAAAGCAAUAAUACUAUUCUUUCCUACUUCACCCAGAA